CGAGGUUUGUAAAUGGUAAAUAACUUAUUCGAGGUUUGUAGCCAUAUUUAAGUAACUCGCUUACUUUGUUUCAGUGUUUGAGUAAAUGUAUAAUGUUAUUAAGUAAUAAUUAAUAUAAGUUACUGCGCGAGCUCAUUACGGCCGUUUCUCAAUCCGAAGGCUACUGGAGGUGGCAUUUGUAGGCUGUAUACGUCAUCAAGACUGUCAGAUUUAAGAAUAUUAACAAUUCUAAAGUUGACUAUUAUUCUUAGUUAAUCGUAAAUUGUUGUAAUAUGCGUAUGACUUGCGAAUGUAAUGCUCAUUUAACUUAAAUAAACCAGGCUUGAUGACGUAUGCAGCCUGCAUAUGCGACCUCCGCAGGAUGCAGCCUUCCGUUUCAGAAACGGCCUACAAGUGUGAGCGUGCGCGAGAUUCUGUCUGAAUUGAUUCUUUAGUAAUGGCAAAGCAAAAAUUUACUGUCGUGGUGAUUAAACGCAUUUUAAAGUUUAAAUUAAAACGCCAAACUUACCUUUCCAGGGGUUUCUGUUCCUGCAGUCUUUCAGGGGUGCUGGCGCGUAUGACGAUGCGGACAUGAACAGCACACUACAGUAUACCGCCACCUACUGUACUGUAGUACAAUAACGUCUUUUAAACAUCUAAACAUGUCCUCCAAAAAGGUUUCCUGUGCUGUUUUGCUCCAUUUUACUGAACAAAAUAAGGCUGAGGUAGCACCAUCCUUGUGGUUAGAGUGAAAGAAUGUGGGUAUUGAGACCAAAAUAAACAAUGUGCCAUUCUGGACAAACAGCUGUGGACAAUAUAUGCAGUCAGAGUAGCCCAUUUUCUCACACAGACCUGAAGAUAAGAUUUCCAGUUUAAAAGUGAAGAAAAUGAAUCAUUAUUAACAGCAAAUAGGAGUAUUUCUCAGCUGAAAAGCCAGAUGAGGAGCAACCAGUAAGAAAAAGCAAAAAGAUGUUUUGAUGUUGCCUGAGGCACCUUAUUUUCCAUUUCAUGCACAAUCACAAAUGCAGCACAUCAAUCAAUUUCUUCCAACCAGCGAAUCAAGAAAUCUUGGAGUGGAGAAUCAUUCUGAAAGUAGACCAAAUCCAGGACAACAUCACAACAGUGGUCGGAAAAAUGCAGCAAGCCAAGCUGACUUUCAAAAGAUGAUUCGUUAUCUGUUUCUUCAGAGGGGAGGCAGUUUGGGAGAUGGGAAUUAGGAGGAUGCUACAGUUACACAGGGCAAAUUUCAGCAGCUCAGUUUCAAACUUGCAACUAACAUUGAGUUAAAGUUAGAAGACCACGGAAAUAUUUGACAUCGGAGUCCAGCAGACAGCCAGAGACACGCACACACACGCAGCUGAAGCGCUUUUGACUGACGCGUACGGGAGAUCCGGCACGCGCACGGGAGCUCGCGCACGCUCACACAAACACGGAGCACAGGAUAAUUACAACUGUUUAAUUAAAAUAAAAGAACUUUGUGGUAUACAAUGUUUACCGUGUCUGAUUUCAUUGGUUAGCAAGGAAAUAAAACGACGUGCUGAGGACUUUAGGCGAACGUCCCCUAAAAGUCCCGAAAGUCCGCUGACCGUCCCGCGAACGUCCUCGCAAAAGUCCGGAGGACGUCCUCGCGGAAGUCCGCUCGACGUA